UACGUAGGGGGCAAGCGUUGUCCGGAAUUAUUGGGCGUAAAGGGCGUGUAGGCGGUCCGGUAAGUCAGCUGUGAAAGUCAAGGGCUCAACCCUUGAAUGCCGGUUGAUACUGUCGGGCUAGAGUCCGGAAGAGGCGAGUGGAAUUCCCGGUGUAGCGGUGAAAUGCGUAGAUAUCUGGAGGAACACCGGUGGCGAAGGCGGCAUCCUGGACCGGCAUUGACGCUGAGGAGCGAAAGCCAGGGGAGCAAACGGG
rnacentral:rRNA from 1 species